rnacentral:rRNA from 1 species
GAUGAACGCUGGCGGCGUGCCUAAUACAUGCAAGUCGAGCGAACGGACGAGAAGCUUGCUUCUCUGAUGUUAGCGGCGGACGGGUGAGUAACACGUGGAUAACCUACCUAUAAGACUGGGAUAACUUCGGGAAACCGGAGCUAAUACCGGAUAAUAUUUUGAACCGCAUGGUUCAAAAGUGAAAGACGGUCUUGCUGUCACUUAUAGACGGAUCCGCGCUGCAUUAGCUAGUUGGUAAGGUAACGGCUUACCAAGGCAACGAUGCAUAGCCGACCUGAGAGGGUGAUCGGCCACACUGGAACUGAGACACGGUCCAGACUCCUACGGGAGGCAGCAGUAGGGAAUCUUCCGCAAUGGGCGAAAGCCUGACGGAGCAACGCCGCGUGAGUGAUGAAGGUCUUCGGAUCGUAAAACUCUGUUAUUAGGGAAGAACAUAUGUGUAAGUAACUGUGCACAUCUUGACGGCACCUAAUCAGAAAGCCACGGCUAACUACGUG